ACCCCAGUGGCCUAAUGGAUAAGUCACUGGCCUCCUAAGCCAGGAAUUGUGGGUUCGAGUCCCAUCUGGGGUG